GGGCGGUUAGCUCAGUUGGUUAGAGCACUAGCUUGACAUGCUAGGGGUCGUGGGUUCAAAUCCCCCAUCGCCCA
rnacentral:tRNA from 1 species